rnacentral:rRNA from 1 species
AAUCUUCGGCAAUGGGGGAAACCCUGACCGAGCGACGCCGCGUGCGGGAUGAAGGCCUUCGGGUUGUAAACCGCUGUCAGUUGGGAGGAAAUGCCUUGGGGUUAUCCCCUUGGUUUGACCGAUCUUCAGAGGAAGGACGGGCUAAGUUCGUGCCAGCAGCCGCGGUAAGACGAACCGUCCAAACGUUAUUCGGUAUCACUGGGCUUAAAGCGUGCGUAGGCGGCCUGGUAGGUGAGAUGUGAAAGCCCACGGCUCAACCGUGGAAUUGCGUUUCAAACCACCAGGCUGGAGGAUGGCAGGGGUGAUGGGAACUGAUGGUGGAGCGGUGAAAUGCGUUGAUAUCAUCAGGAACACCGGUGGCGAAGGCGCAUCACUGGGCCAUUUCUGACGCUGAGGCACGAAAGCUAGGGUAGCGAAC